UACGGAGGAUGCGAGCGUUAUCCGGAUUUAUUGGGUUUAAAGGGUGCGCAGGCGGCACGGCAAGCCGGCGGUCAAAUCGCGGGGCUCAACCCCGCCCAGCAGUCGGAACUGCCGGGCUAGAGUGGGCGAGAAGUGCGCGGAAUGCGUGGUGUAGCGGUGAAAUGCAUAGAUAUCACGCAGAACUCCGAUUGCGAAGGCAGCGCACCGGCGCCCUACUGACGCUCAGGCACGAAAGCGUGGGUAUCGAACAGG
rnacentral:rRNA from 1 species